GCAGGAGGAACAGUCGCGCAUUAAAUGAGAGUUUAAUGUGAGGAAAGUCCGAGCUCCACAGAAUUACGAUGCCCGGUAACACCGGGGCGGAGAGAUCCGACAGAUUAGUGCCACAGAAAACAAACCGCCCGCUUUGGCGGGUAAGGGUGAAAACGUGGUGUAAGAGACCACGAACAAUAGUAGUAAUAUUGUUGUUGGUAAACCUCAUCGGGAGCAAGACCAAAUAGGGGAAGAAGGAGUUAAUUCGCUCCGUUUGAUUCCCGGGUAGGCUGCAUGAGCAGUUUCAGGUAACUGGCUGCCAAGAUAAAUGGCUGUUAUUCGCCUUGGCGAAAUACAGAACUCGGCUUAUACUCCUGC
rnacentral:RNase_P_RNA from 1 species